GUGAGUAACACGUGGGUAACCUGCCUGUAAGACUGGGAUAACUCCGGGAAACCGGGGCUAAUACCGGAUGGUUGUCUGAACCGCAUGGUUCAGACAUAAAAGGUGGCUUCGGCUACCACUUACAGAUGGACCCGCGGCGCAUUAGCUAGUUGGUGAGGUAACGGCUCACCAAGGCGACGAUGCGUAGCCGACCUGAGAGGGUGAUCGGCCACACUGGGACUGAGACACGGCCCAGACUCCUACGGGAGGCAGCAGUAGGGAAUCUUCCGCAAUGGACGAAAGUCUGACGGAGCAACGCCGCGUGAGUGAUGAAGGUUUUCGGAUCGUAAAGCUCUGUUGUUAGGGAAGAACAAGUGCCGUUCAAAUAGGGCGGCACCUUGACGGUACCUAACCAGAAAGCCACGGCUAACUACGUGCCAGCAGCCGCGGUAAUACGUAGGUGGCAAGCGUUGUCCGGAAUUAUUGGGCGUAAAGGGCUCGCAGGCGGUUUCUUAAGUCUGAUGUGAAAGCCCCCGGCUCAACCGGGGAGGGUCAUUGGAAACUGGGGAACUUGAGUGCAGAAGAGGAGAGUGGAAUUCCACGUGUAGCGGUGAAAUGCGUAGAGAUGUGGAGGAACACCAGUGGCGAAGGCGACUCUCUGGUCUGUAACUGACGCUGAGGAGCGAAAGCGUGGGGAGCGAACAGGAUUAGAUACCCUGGUAGUCCACGCCGUAAACGAUGAGUGCUAAGUGUUAGGGGGUUUCCGCCCCUUAGUGCUGCAGCUAACGCAUUAAGCACUCCGCCUGGGGAGUACGGUCGCAAGACUGAAACUCAAAGGAAUUGACGGGGGCCCGCACAAGCGGUGGAGCAUGUGGUUUAAUUCGAAGCAACGCGAAGAACCUUACCAGGUCUUGACAUCCUCUGACAAUCCUAGAGAUAGGACGUCCCCUUCGGGGGCAGAGUGACAGGUGGUGCAUGGUUGUCGUCAGCUCGUGUCGUGAGAUGUUGGGUUAAGUCCCGCAACGAGCGCAACCCUUGAUCUUAGUUGCCAGCAUUCAGUUGGGCACUCUAAGGUGACUGCCGGUGACAAACCGGAGGAAGGUGGGGAUGACGUCAAAUCAUCAUGCCCCUUAUGACCUGGGCUACACACGUGCUACAAUGGACAGAACAAAGGGCAGCGAAACCGCGAGGUUAAGCCAAUCCCACAAAUCUGUUCUCAGUUCGGAUCGCAGUCUGCAACUC
rnacentral:rRNA from 1 species